ACUGUGAAGUCACAAGAGGCCCUGAGCUCUGUGGGCCCCAGGUGCCCCGGGAAAACUUGGGGGAGAAUGGGCAUCCCACCCCAGCACUUUCUAGGAAGAAGGGCAGCAUUUUGAAGGGCUGGAAGUAGAGGAAGGAGGUUGCGGGUAGAAGACUCCAUACUUUCUGUGACGCCUAUUCCUUAGAAAUUCUCGGAGCCACCCAUCAGUGCCUGAGCUUCAGUGAGUCCAUAUCCCAUGUCACCCACGGCAAAGGAGACUCUAAGACUUCUGAAGAGUUUCUUGCUUCUUUCCUGUGGGGCAGUGACUCCACUUCCCAGCAGUAAUGGAAUAUCCUGAAUUAGCUACAUUAAUGUUAGAACCAUUUGGACCUCACCCAGGACUUCAACUACAUUAUGAACCCAAAUUUGGCAACUGUCUGCAUCUGAACAACAGAAGUUUCAACAUUCUGCCAACAGAGUAACUCCUGGACGAUUGGCACAGAAGAAGGCACAAGGCAAAUACCCAUCUCUGUACACCCUGUGCUACUGUGUCAUGUGCUGCUCCAGGCAACUCCAAUGGAUUGGCCACCCUGGCCAAUGUGCCCUCCAAACACCAGCACUGAGUAGAAAGAGGCUCUGAUUCAUGAAAUGUGAAUUUAUGACAGUUGCCACUCUUAAAAAAAAAAACAAACAGACAGAACUUGAGCAAUACAUGACUGAUGCAUUCUCAGCCUGCUUCCUGUGUUCCAUCUGUCUUUCUGCCAGUGCAUUCACCCUCCAGGUUUGAAAGUAGUCGGGCAAGAAAGUACUAAACAUAGAGAAAGGGCAAUUCCAAAAGAACAAAUGAUUGCUUAAUUUAGGCUGACAUUACCCAGUUGCUGGGGGUAUGGGCCAUGGGGAUGGGCCAUGUUCACCACUUAGGUUGGGCAAAUUCCCAAGAUGCCUUUUGACAUAGUAAUGAGGGGGAAUACAUCACUCAUGCCCACU
rnacentral:lncRNA from 1 species